ACUAGCCAAUCAGAAGCAGAGUAGGGCGGGACCUGAAAAGCCGUAACCUGGUUCAGCUUUGAUUCAGCUGUAAGUGUUCACGAUCAGCUUUGCAACGUAGACUAGAAUGACAGUUUGAGAGUGAUCCCCGCUCUGUUCGUAAAGACACAGCUUACCUGCCCCGCUCUGUGUUCUUGGAGCUUGGUUUCCCUCAGCCUGCCCGCUCCCCGCCUCAAGCCCACAUCACCCACCUUUGCACAUUCUCAACCUGUCAAUAAACUAUCCUUGUAUGGACUAA